CCACUAAUAACCGCAACGAAUGUCGGAUGUGGUGAUGUUUUGAGUCAAAACGGCUCAAAAUCCCACCCAAAUUUCCCCCUUUUCGACCGAAAAGGUUACCUAUUGUUGCAUGUUCGUCAUAAGUAGGAUCAAGGUAACGACGUGAGAAAGAAAUGGAUACAUUAUCUGAAGUAUUUCAUUUGAAAAGUUGAUUAACUGAGCUAAUCCACGAAAUGAACGGUUGACUUUGGCGGUCCAGUAAAAAAAA